UUGGGACUUUUCCGCCAUUGGCGAAAGCCUGCCGGAGCAAUACCGCGUGAGGGAUGACGGCCUGUGGGUUGUAAACCUCUUUUCUCAAGGAAGAAGUUCUGACGGUACUUGAGGAAUAAGCAUCGGCUAACUCUGUGCCAGCAGCCGCGGUAAUACAGAGGAUGCAAGCGUUAUCCGGAAUCACUGGGCAUAAAGCGUCUGUAGGUUGUUUAAUAAGUCUGCUGUUAAAGACUGGGGCUCAACCCCAGAAAAGCAGUGGAAACUGUUAGACUUGAGUGUGGUAGAGGUAGAGGGAAUUCCUAGUGUAGCGGUGAAAUGCGUAGAUAUUAGGAAGAACACCAAUGGCGAAGGCACUCUACUGGGCCAUAACUGACACUGAGAGACGACAGCUAGGGGAGCAAAUGGGAUGAGAGACCCCCGUAGUC
rnacentral:rRNA from 1 species